CGGGUGACAGGUGGUGCAUGGUUGUCGUCAGCUCGUGUCGUGAGAUGUUGGGUUAAGUCCCGCAACGAGCGCAACCCUCGCCUCUAGUUGCCAGCAUUCGGUUGGGCACUCUAGAGGGACUGCCGGCGACAAGUCGGAGGAAGUGGGAUGACGUCAAAUCAUCAUGCCCCUUAUGACCUGGGCUACACACGUGCUACAAUGGGCGGUACAAAGGGCUGCGAACCCGCGAGGGGGAGCGAAUCCCAAAAAGCCGCUCUCAGUUCGGAUUGCAGGCUGCAACUCGCCUGCAUGAAGCCGGAAUCGCUAGUAAUCGCGGAUCAGCAUGCCGCGGUGAAUACGUUCCCGGGCCUU
rnacentral:rRNA from 1 species